rnacentral:rRNA from 1 species
UACGUAGGGUGCGAGCGUUAAUCGGAAUUAUUGGGGGUAAAGUGUGCGUAGGCGGUUUGUUGUGUUGGUGGUGAAAGCCCCGGGCUUAACCUGGGAAUGGCCGUUGAAACUGGCGAACUGGAGUGUGGCAGAGGGGGGUGGAAUUCCGCGUGUAGCAGUGAAAUGCGUAGAGAUGCGGAGGAACACCGAUGGCGAAGGCAGCCCCCUGGGCUAACACUGACGCUCAGGCACGAAAGCGUGGGGAGCAAACAGG